UGGGUGGAUUAGUGGCGAACGGGUGAGUAACACGUGAGUAACCUGCCCUUAACUCUGGGAUAAGCCUGGGAAACUGGGUCUAAUACCGGAUAGGAGCGCCUACCGCAUGGUGGGUGUUGGAAAGAUUUAUCGGUUUUGGAUGGACUCGCGGCCUAUCAGCUUGUUGGUGAGGUAAUGGCUCACCAAGGCGACGACGGGUAGCCGGCCUGAGAGGGUGACCGGCCACACUGGGACUGAGACACGGCCCAGACUCCUACGGGAGGCAGCAGUGGGGAAUAUUGCACAAUGGGCGCAAGCCUGAUGCAGCGACGCCGCGUGAGGGAUGACGGCCUUCGGGUUGUAAACCUCUUUCAGUAGGGAAGAAGCGAAAGUGACGGUACCUGCAGAAGAAGCACCGGCUAACUACGUGCCAGCAGCCGCGGUAAUACGUAGGGUGCGAGCGUUAUCCGGAAUUAUUGGGCGUAAAGAGCUCGUAGGCGGUUUGUCGCGUCUGUCGUGAAAGUCCGGGGCUUAACCCCGGAUCUGCGGUGGGUACGGGCAGACUAGAGUGCAGUAGGGGAGACUGGAAUUCCUGGUGUAGCGGUGGAAUGCGCAGAUAUCAGGAGGAACACCGAUGGCGAAGGCAGGUCUCUGGGCUGUAACUGACGCU
rnacentral:rRNA from 1 species